ACGGUCAUACCACAUUAAAAACUCCGGUUCUCGUCCGAUCACCGAAGUUAAGCAAUGUCGGGCCCGGUCAGUACUUGGGAGGGUGACCACCUGGGAACACCGGGUGCUGUAGGCU